AUGAGGUUGCGGGAUGAACACAGCGAAGAAAUAGAUGAAGAUCUCUUUUCCUUGGCAUGUGAACCUGAUCGGAGAGUCAGAAAAUACUCAUCAUGCAUAGUGAAUGGUAUUAGAUAUAGCACUGUUGACCGUGAUAGCAACAAGAGAACACAGAACAGUGGAGUCAUGGCCGAAGGUGAACAUGCCAGUAAGGUCAUAGAUUUUUAUGGAACCUUGAAAGAGAUCAUCCAGUUGGACUAUAACUCCAACGAUAACUUGGACGGCAAGUCAGUUAUUUUGUUUAAAUGUGACUGGUUUAAACUUGAUGGAAAGAAGAAGGAUCUAAAAAUGACCGAUUUUUCAAAAGCAUCAAUGUUGAAAGUUUUAUGGUACAAGGAUGAUUCUCUUAUUCUGGCUACUCAGGCAAGAAAGAUCUUUUAUUUGCCAGACACAAAGUAUGGGAAAAAUUGGCAAGUUGUGCAAACAUUUGACCAUAGGCAUCUCUUAAUAUUAGUGAAACUGAGGGUGCACCUUUUACUGGUGCUGCAUAUCAAGAGGAGGAGUGUUGUGAUGAGGAGGGUAUGA
rnacentral:rRNA from 1 species